rnacentral:rRNA from 1 species
GUCGGGAAAGUUUUUCGCUAAGGGAUCAGUCUAUGUUCCAUCAGCUUGUUGGUGAGGUAAUGGCUCACCAAGGCUAUGACGGAUAUCUGGUUUGAGAGGAUGAUCAGACACACUGGAACUGAGACACGGUCCAGACUCCUACGGGAGGCAGCAGUGAGGAAUAUUGCACAAUGGAGGAAACUCUGAUGCAGCAACGCCGCGUGGAGGAUGACGCAUUUCGGUGUGUAAACUCCUUUUAUUAGGGAAGAUAAUGACGGUACCUAAUGAAUAAGCACCGGCUAACUCCGUGCCAGCAGCCGCGGUAAUACGGAGGGUGCAAGCGUUACUCGGAAUCACUGGGCGUAAAGGGUGCGUAGGCUGGCUUUUAAGUCAGAUGUGAAAUCCAAUGGCUCAACCAUUGAACUGCAUUUGAAACUGAAAGCCUAGAGUUCAGAAGGGGCAGAUGGAAUUAGUGGUGUAGGGGUAAAAUCCGUAGAUAUCACUAGGAAUAUCAAAAGCGAAGGCGAUCUGCUGGGAUGA